AGCGUGGGAUCACGAACAUUAGCCGGACAAUAAAAGCUGGGGAAAAGGGGUUUGAACAGAAAUGUGAGAUCGAAGGAGAGCGAUAGAGAAAGAGAAAUCGAAAGCGAGAGAGAUCCGGCGAAGGGCGUCGGAUUUCGUCCAUUUGUUCUUCGCUCUCUUAAUCGGACGGUGGAAAGAUGAAGGGCUCCUGUACUCUCGUGGCAUCCAUGCUCGCCGCAUCUACCGUGGCUCUCACAUCCUCUUCCUCUUCCUCCACCUCUCCCGACCGUGAUCUCUCCUUCAAUCCUUGCUUCAUUGAGAUGCAUUCUUCUUCUUCGUCAUCGUCAUUUUCGGACAAGGGUGGAGUUAGCGAUUCGCUUUUGUCAUCGUCGGGUAAGGAUAAAUUCGCUCCAAGAUUUGACGGCUUGAGAUUCAUUGAGACGUUGGUGACCGCACACAGGUGACGAUGGACGAUGCACAGACCUAGAUCUUAUGUCGCCCUUUGAAAUUGUUGUAAGAUUCAAAAACAAGAGUAGACCUAUUUAUUCAUUGAAACUGUUGUUGUUAAUUUCGGUCAUUAUCGUCUAAUCGCUGAUGGAUUUUAUUAUUGGUUUGUUUUGUUUACUCAAUUUUUCAUCUCAGUGGGAAACUUAAAAUAUAUUUACGCGUUAGUGAAAAA